AUGUUCAGGAUCUGCUCCCCACAGCCAUUCCCAGCUCCAUGUUCAGGAUCUGGCUCCCCACAGCCAUUCCCAGCUCCAUGUUCAGGAUCUGGCUCCCCACAGCCAUUCCCAGCUCCAUGUUCAGGAUCUGGCUCCCCACAGCCAUUCCCAGCUCCAUGUUCAGGAUCUGGCUCCCCACAGCCAUUCCCAGCUCCAUGUUCAGGAUCUGGCUCCCCACAGCCAUUCCCAGCUCCAUGUUCAGGAUCUGGCUCCCCACAGCCAUUCCCAGCUCCAUGUUCAGGAUCUGGCUCCCCACAGCCAUUCCCAGCUCCAUGUUCAGGAUCUGGCUCCCCACAGCCAUUCCCAGCUCCAUGUUCAGGAUCUGGCUCCCCACAGCCAUUCCCAGCUCCAUGUUCAGGAUCUGGCUCCCCACAGCCAUUCCCAGCUCCAUGUUCAGGAUCUGGCUCCCCACAGCCAUUCCCAGCUCCAUGUUCAGGAUCUGGCUCCCCACAGCCAUUCCCAGCUCCAUGUUCAGGAUCUGGCUCCCCACAGCCAUUCCCAGCUCCAUGUUCAGGAUCUGGCUCCCCACAGCCAUUCCCAGCUCCAUGUUCAGGAUCUGGCUCCCCACAGCCAUUCCCAGCUCCAUGUUCAGGAUCUGGCUCCCCACAGCCAUUCCCAGCUCCAUGUUCAGGAUCUGGCUCCCCACAGCCAUUCCCAGCUCCAUGUUCAGGAUCUGGCUCCCCACAGCCAUUCCCAGCUCCAUGUUCAGGAUCUGGCUCCCCACAGCCAUUCCCAGCUCCAUGUUCAGGAUCUGGCUCCCCACAGCCAUUCCCAGCUCCAUGUUCAGGAUCUGGCUCCCCACAGCCAUUCCCAGCUCCAUGUUCAGGAUCUGGCUCCCCACAGCCAUUCCCAGCUCCAUGUUCAGGAUCUGGCUCCCCACAGCCAUUCCCAGCUCCAUGCUCAGGAUCUGGCUCCCCACAGCCCUGCUCAGUGGCUUUGCUGAAGCCACCCAGCUGCUGUUCUGGUUUCUGGGCUUUGAGGGACAGCAGUGUCUCUGUGCUGGGAUGUACUGAGAUGCUCUCCUCAACUCCCAGGUCUUUAAUGCUGCUCUUGUGGGAAUGGAAGCAGUGA
rnacentral:lncRNA from 1 species